rnacentral:piRNA from 1 species
UGGCUUCAGGUCUCACAUAGUGCAGU